GAGAGAGAGAGAGAGAGAGAGGAAGAGUAGAGUGGAAACGAGAAUCGGGGGGUUUACCUGUUGACAGUAACGACGCCCGGCGAAAAGGGCUUCGAAAGAAAAACGCCGAUAGGACGUGUGUUUACGAAAGCUGAAAUUCCAACGGAGGCGCACGGGGGUUUGGUCGAAAAAGGGGGAGGUUAGUCAUUGGCGCAACCACCCCCGCGUACUCGUCGAGUAGCCGCAGCGAGGGCAACGUUGUCGAGCGCAAUAAAGACACCCCUCCCC
rnacentral:misc_RNA from 1 species